GUUAGCAUCAGUAAGGACCCUAAGAUGUUUCCUUCUCCCGUCUCUUCCCAAAAGCAAGCUCACACCUUAAGUUAAUCCACACAACCCAACAACAUUAACCAUAAAACAACAACUCCAUAAGAUCCCUGCAUAAAACAGCCAUAGGGUAAAGGAAUUAAAAAUAGAACCAGCAGAGCUACUGAAACCACCACAAUAAGUCCCCUUUCAAUUUCUAGCUUGCUGCACUCUAAAAGACCUAAAACAUUACUUACAAACCCACCUGAAGCGGAGAAGGAACCCAUGAGAAC
rnacentral:misc_RNA from 1 species